CUCUCAAAUGUUCCGCCAGGCAGCGGGCGGGCGAGGCGGAUAUCCUGGGGGUGAGGUCCUUCAAAGACGAAAUCUUCAACUGGCCGUAGUUGGCGGAGCCACUACACGCAGGCUGUGGCGUCCUUGAGGAGGGGCUACUUUGUUCAGAGCCACAGACUUCUCAUCUGCAGAAUGAGCUCCCACCGGCAGCCAGAGGCAUCCAUUUGCCUUCCUGGGAUCAGGAUUGUUACAGCAGGAGCUCAAGGGAAAAAGCUGAUGUCCAGCCUCAGACCUUCAGAUCCGAAGUUGAUGUCCAGCCUCAGGAUUUCUGAGUCCUUCUCAAGGAAAUGGUCAUGAAAACCUGAGUUAUUUAAAACAACUGCUUCACAGAGUCAUUGGGAGUAUUACAGGUAAGAGCAGAUGUAAAGCAACCAGCACAACGCUUGGCAGGAAGUCCAUGCUCACGCCUCCGCUGCAGGACCCCAGGGGAUUGCCUUUGAGAAGAUGAUCCAUAAGGAAGGUAUUUCCCCUUUGGGAGUACUUGGGCCCACAAGAGGCGCUUAAGUCAAAGGCACUAAAGUUAGAAAAAGGGUGGGAUAAGCCUUUCAAGUCCAAGGACUUAAAGAUCCUCCUAGAGAGGGAGAGACAGGGGGGAAACGAUUGGGUCCAUGGUGAAGUGGGUGACUUGGCUGUGCUGAGGAUGCAUUCUGGGGUCAGCAGUGGCUUGAUGGGCCCGAGUCUGUGGACAGGGGAAAGGGUGAUCUUGGCCAGGAACCAUCAUGGGGCCUGGAUUAGGGUCUGGACCAGCAGUCUCCUGUGGCUGUCUGUUGCAGGGGAGACCCACCCAGGCAGGCACCCCUCUAUGCUUGGCUCCUCAGUCGUAGCUAUGCUUGGGGCAGUCACUACUAGUCUUCACUUCACUAUAUAAGCUGGAUCUUUAUUCACCUCUGCCCUUUGGUGAUGCUGCUGGCAAUGUUCUAGCCAAAUCCAGCCUGCAGACCUAUUUUGCAAGACUUUGACCUCCUCUCACCAAGAGGUGGGGGUCUAUGUACCCCUUUCCUGGAAUCCAGGUGGAUCUGUGGCUGCUUUCACCACUAGAGCAUUUUGGAAGUCCCGCUAGGGGACUAGAGACUAGAUCACACAAGGCCAUGCAGCUUCCACCUGGCUCUCUUGCAGUCCUCACUCUCUGGAUACUCUGUCUCGGAACCCAGCCACAUGCUGUGAGAAGCUCAAGCCACAUGGAGAAGCCACGUGUAAGCGCUCCAGUGGACAGUCCCAGCCUUUGAGUCAUCCCAGUCCAGGCACCAGCAGAGAAGCCUCCAGAUGACUCUAGCCCCAGCCAUUUGAAUCUUCCCAGCUGAAGCCCCAGACAUCAUGGAGCAGAGUCAAGCUGUCCCCACAGUGCCCUGUCCAGACUUUUGACACAAGGAAUCUGUGGACAUAAUGAAAUGGUUGCUUUACGUCACUAAAUUUGGAGUCACUGUUAGGUGGAAAUACUCACUAGAAAAUUGUGCUUUAAAAUUUUUUGAUUCUGUUGCCAGCUUUUAAAAUUGGGAGAUUUCACAUACAAAUUUGGGGUUUGGGCAAAAGAGAAAUCAGAAAAUCUGGCCAUGUUGGCAUCCCUCAUUGGCAAAAACUGGUCAGAACUGCCCUUUUGAGAAGGUAUACGGGUCUCCUAUCUACCAUGGCCUCCACAUGGCUAGAUCUGCUUGUUUAGGUCACCUGUCUGGUCCUAAUGGGCAUAUGGGUGUGGUGGCCCUGGGACUGGACCAUCCUAUCCCCUUGUGAGGUGCCCCACACCUAAGGAUUUUUCCUUCCUCAUGAUGGCUGGUGUAUCCCUGACUUCUAUGGGUACCCCAUUUUUGUUCCAUGAACCCACCAGACCAGGCAGGGUUCUACCCUUUUGUCCGCUCAGAAAACUGUUUAUGUGAAAUAAAAACCAGGCAGGGGCUGGGGGUGGUGAUGGCUGUGUCUGGAGUUUGCUUGUCCUGUAAACAAUUUCCUGGUGAUAAUCUUUCCAAUUAUCCUCCAAGCUGGAACUUCUACGUGAAAUCAAGCUGGGUGCCCUUGGCUUAUCCUGUACAUCUUGGAGUGAUUAAGAUCUGGCUUUAUAUUUCAGGGUGAGGCCAGAAUUUCCAAGAUCCUUGACACAGACAUAAAGAAUCAGGGUAAUAUAGAAUCUUAGAAACAAAUACAGGGCAGAUUAUAGACUCGUACAACCAACAAGGCUCUUAAAAGUCAAUCUAUCUUUGCACAAAGCAUAGUUGAGCCGGGUAAAAAUUCCAGGAACUAUAACUUUAUUUUUCGUGGCCCAAACUUAAUUUAUUAGCUCCUGCUAAUACAGGGAGCAAAGACAAUUAAUUAAUUAAUUCAACAAAAGUUUAUCAAGGGCCUCUAUGUACUAGGUAUUUUCUUUUUUUUUAGAGGGGGUAGGAAUCUAACCAUGAUGUGUCAGAUAAAAACUUCUGCCACCAUGAAGUUUAAUGUACAUUCCAAUGGAAGGCACAGAUGAAAAUAAAAAAACAAACAAACAAAAAAUACCCCAUGAUAGGAUGUCAUAAGUGGUGAUAAGUGCUUUGAUUAAAAAAAAA